rnacentral:rRNA from 1 species
UACGGGGGGAGCAAGCGUUGUUCGGAUUUACUGGGCGUAAAGGGCGCGUAGGCGGCCACCGCAAGUCGACUGUGAAAUCUCCGGGCUUAACUCGGAACGGUCAACUGAUACUGCGCGGCUAGAGUGCGGAAGGGGCAACUGGAAUUCUCGGUGUAGCGGUGAAAUGCGUAGAUAUCGAGAGGAACACCUGCGGCGAAGGCGGGUUGCUGGGCCGACACUGACGCUGAUGCGCGAAAGCCAGGGGAGCGAACGGG